UUUAACUGAGAUAGCACAUUGAAUGAACCAGUUCCCAAUGGAACCCUAUAGUUAAGGAGUGUUGCGUGUGGUUAGUAUCCAUAUGGGUGACCAUCAGUGCAAUCGCGUGUUGCUGGCU
rfam:Asian citrus Psyllid, Diaphorina citri - Florida Strain, whole genome shotgun sequence.